GACGAACGCUGGCGGCGUGCUUAACACAUGCAAGUCGAACGGAGUGGCGAACGGGUGAGUAACGCGUAAUCACCCUGCCCUUCAGAGGGGGACAACAGUUGGAAAAGACUGCUACUACCGCAUCCUGCAGGAGGGGCGUGCGUCUGAUUAGCGAGUUGGCGGGGUAACGGCCCACCAAGGCGAUGCUCAGUAGCCGGUCUGAGAGGAUGAACGGCCAAAUUGGGACUGAGACACGGCCCAGACUCCUACGGGAUGCAGCAGUGGGGAAUCUGCCGCCAUGGACGAAAGUCUGACGGAGCAACGCCGCGUGAGUGAUGACGGCCGUCGGGUGGUAAAGCUCUGUUAAUCGGGACGCGGUACCGGAAUAGAAAGCCACGGCUAACUACGUGCCAGCAGCCGCGGUAAUUC
rnacentral:rRNA from 1 species